GUACGGGGGGGGCAAGCGUUGUUCGGAAUUAUUGGGCGUAAAGAGCUCGUAGGCGGUUUGUCGCGUCUGCCGUGAAAGUCCGGGGCUCAACUCCGGAUCUGCGGUGGGUACGGGCAGACUAGAGUGAUGUAGGGGAGACUGGAAUUCCUGGUGUAGCGGUGAAAUGCGCAGAUAUCAGGAGGAACACCGAUGGCGAAGGCAGGUCUCUGGGCAUUAACUGACGCUGAGGAGCGAAAGCAUGGGGGAGCGAACAGG
rnacentral:rRNA from 1 species